AGUUUAAAGGACAAGGAGGGGAGCAGUUGGCUUCUUAGGCAAAGUAUCAUCAGCUAACCUUUAAGCUGACUGGGCCUCAGUCAGGUAACGGGUGGUGGUGGAUGGGUGGUGAACAGGGGAAUUUCAGAACAUUGAGAUAACAGAGCACGAGUAUUACAAUCAUAAUGUUUCAACUUAUUAGUAACAUUUUUCAGGGUCAGCCACAAAAACCACAGUGAACUCAUACAUAGGUACAGAAAGGGCUGCCUGGUGGUCAGCUGUGACCCAAGAUAAUUUAGACAUAACAGCUCAUAAUAACCUUUGAUUUGAUGGGUCCUACAUGAAGCCUUGUGGAAUUUCUUAAGAUUAACAAACUUCAUACAGAACAUUCAGAAUACACAGAACAAAACAGGGUAUGUGGUCAGCAUGUCCUUGAGCCAAGUCACUUCUCUGUGCCAGUGACUGGCAGGCAUGUUACAGCAACAAUAUGAAAUAGCUGGCAGGCAUGGAACAAAAUGACUACAGAUAUUCUAGAGAUUGGUCAGACCAUAACAAUAGAUAAAACACUGAUACACAUAAAAUAAUCUAAAAAUAAUUAAGAGCUUAUACAAAUUAAAAGCCAAAACAAAACAAAACAAAAACCUGGAAAGAACCUUAAUAACAAACAAGAUAGAGAAAGGUUGACUUCCCGGCUAUGGUAAGAGGGCGAUGUGGUUAAUUCUUUUGUCAAGUUGACUGGAUUUGGACUCAUGGAGGAGUCACACUUUAGAUGUGUGUCUUUGGGAGAAAUUCAAAAGAGGUUUAAUGGAGAAGGGAAGGCCCACCCUGAGUAGGGGGAGCAUCAUCCAUCACCCUGAGUCUCAGGGUGACUAAAAUGGAAGACACCAGCUGACAGGCAGUUUUCAUCUCUCUGCUCCCUGACUGGGACGUUGAUGUGACUGGCCUUCUCAUGCUUCCGCCAUGCUUCUCCAGCCAUGAUGGACGGUGUCACUGACCCGUAAACCAAUGUAAGCUCUCUUUUCCUUACGGUAUUAUCAGGUAUCCUAUUACAGCAAUGAGAAAAUUGAUUAAUAUAGCAUGCAAGUACACCUAAGGCCUGAGGAAUAAAUGCCUAAAGGACGGGAGCAGGUUGCAAAGGAGAAAUUGAUGUUUCCAACAGACAUGAAAAUUGUUCUUAUUUACCAAGAGACUUGAUGCACAAAUUGAUACAUAUAUUAAGAACAGAUCUUUUCCCCUCUAACAAAAUUUCACUACUUAUGGGAUAUUGGCAUAACUUUAUUUGAAAUCAAUUUGGCCACAUUAGUUAUGUCUUAGAAUGUUCAUACCCUUUCAGUAAGUAAUUUCAUUUAAGGGUCCAUAUGCUAGAGAGAGAAUCUGAAGCACAUAGAAAGUUUUAUGUUCAAAAAUUUCACCAUAAAAGUUGACAGUGAUUUUAAUGCUGAAAAAUUAAAACAAUGGUUUUAUUUUAUGAUGCUUUUAUAACUAUCAUGCAACCAUUAAAUAUGAUACUUGUGCAGAGGAUAGACAGGAAGUGCCUAUAUGCUGAAUAUUUGUUGAAAAUAGGAGAACAUACAUAAAUUAUCCUCCUCACUAGGACAUUAUGAGUAACUAUGUACACAAAAACAUGGCACAGGGCUGUAACAGGGCUGCAGAGAUGACCCCAUGUGUAAAGCCCUGGCCUCAUAGGACUAUUGACAUAGGUUAAGAUUCCCAAAGCUUGCCUAAAACCCAACAC
rnacentral:lncRNA from 1 species